rnacentral:sRNA from 1 species
UCUCUCUGUACGGGAAGGAUGAGAAGCUUCGACUAAGGUUCGAUUCGAGCGCAGCGAGAAAGCGUUGCCGCAGGCAACGACCCGAAGGGCGAAGCGCGCAGCGCUGAGUCAUCCUUCCCCCACCACCA